rnacentral:tRNA from 1 species
CAAGUUAUAGCUUAAUUAGUAAAGCAUUUUAUUUACAUUAAAAGGUAGUUGUGCAAUUCAAUAUAAUUUGA